rnacentral:rRNA from 1 species
AACGAACGCUGGCGGCAUGCCUAACACAUGCAAGUCGAACGAGACCUUCGGGUCUAGUGGCGCACGGGUGCGUAACGCGUGGGAACCUGCCCUUAGGUUCGGAAGAACUUCCCGAAAGGGGUGCUAAUACCGGCUAAUAUCUUCCGUCCAAAGGUUUAUCGCCUUUGGAUGGGCUGGCGUUGUAUUGCCAUGUUGGUAGGGUAAAAGCCUACCAAGGCUACGAUCCAUAGAUGGUUAGAGAGGAUGAGCAGCGACACUGGGACGGAGACACGGCCCAGACUACUACGGGAGGGAGCAGUGGGGGAUACUGGAAAAUGGGCGAAGGGCUGAUGCAGCAAUGACGCGUGAGUGAUGAAGGCCGUAGGGUUGUAAAGCACUUUUACCCGGGAUGAUAAUGACAGUACCGGGAGAAUAAGCACCGGCUAACUCCGUG